rnacentral:rRNA from 1 species
CAACUCGUAACGGUGGAUGUCUCGGCUCCUGCAUCGAUGAAGAACGCAGC